rnacentral:rRNA from 1 species
UCCAGCUCCAAUAGCGUAUAUUAAAGUUGUUGCGGUUAAAAAGCUCGUAGUUGGAUCUCGGCAAGUAGAGGGCGGUAUGCUUCGUAGCAUUACUGCCCUAUUACUUGUAGUUUUGCCAGAGGUUCCUGGGUGCUCUUAAUCGAGUGUCUAGGGAUGCUGGCAGGUUUACUUUGAAAAAAUUAGAGUGCUCAAAGCAGGCUAUUACGCUUGAAUAUUCGUGCAUGGAAUAAUAGAAUAGGAAGUUGUUUCUAUUUUGUUGGUUUUCGGAAAUCGACUUAAUGAUUAAUAGGGACAGUCGGGGGCAUUUGUAUUCAAACGACAGAGGUGAAAUUCUUGGACCGUUUGAAGACAAACUACUGCGAAAGCAUUUGCCAAGAAUGUUUUCAUUAAUCAAGAACGAAAGUUAGAGGUUCGAAGGCGAUUAGAUACCGCCCUAGUUCUAACCAUAAACGAUGCCAGCUAGCGAUCUGAGGACGUUUUUUUUGUAGACUCCUCAGGAAGCUUCCGGGAAACCAAAGCGUGUGGGUUCCGGGGGAAGUAUGGUUGCAAAGCUGAAACUUAAAGGAAUUGACGGAAGGGCACCACCAGGAGUGGAGCCUGCGGCUUAAUUUGACUCAACACGGGAAAUCUCACCAGGCCCGGACACUGGAAGGAUUGACAGAUUGAGAGCUCUUUCUCGAUUCGGUGGGUGGUGGUGCAUGGCCGUUCUUAGUUGGUGGAGUGAUUUGUCUGGUUAAUUCCGAUAACGAACGAGACUCUGUCCUGCUAAAUAGUGUCAGCCUCUCUUCUGGGCUGACAAUUCUUCUUAGAGGGACUGGCGGCUCCUAGCCGCACGAGAUAGAGCAAUAAC